rnacentral:rRNA from 1 species
UGGGGAAUAUUGGGCAAUGGGCGAAAGCCUGACCCAGCGACGCCGCGUGGGUGAUGAAGGCCUUCGGGUUGUAAAGCCCUGUCAUGCGGAAAGAACAGUCUCAUGGCUAAUAUCCAUGAGAUUUGACGGUACCGCAGGAGGAAGCACCGGCUAACUCCGUGCCAGCAGCCGCGGUAAUACGGAGGGUGCAAGCGUUGUUCGGAAUUAUUGGGCGUAAAGGGCGCGUAGGCGGUAAUGAAAGUCAGAUGUGAAAUACUUCGGCUCAACUGAAGAACUGCAUCUGAAACUUCAUAACUAGAGUACGGAAGAGGGAAAUGGAAUUCCCGGUGUAGAGGUGAAAUUCGUAGAUAUCGGGAGGAACACCAGUGGCGAAGGCGAUUUCCUGGUCUGGUACUGACGCUGAGGCGCGAAAGUGUGGGGAGCAAACA